rnacentral:rRNA from 1 species
AACGAACGCUGGCGGCAUGCCUAACACAUGCAAGUCGAACGAGACCUUCGGGUCUAGUGGCGCACGGGUGCGUAACGCGUGGGAACCUGCCCUUAGGUUCGGAAUAACUCCCCGAAAGGGGUGCUAAUACCGGAUAAUGUCUUCGGACCAAAGAUUUAUCGCCUUUGGAUGGGCCCGCGUUGGCUUAGCUAGUUGGUAGGGUAAAGGACUACCAAGGCGACGAUCCAUAGCUGGUCUGAGAGGAUGAUCAGCCACACUGGGACUGAGACACGGCCCAGACUGCGACGGGAGGCAGCGGCGGGGACGUUUGGAGAAGGGGCGAAGGGCUGAUAUUGCAAUGCGGCGUGUGUGAUGACCGCCUUCGGGUGGGAGAGCAAUGAUGGCGGGAAGGAAAAAGACUGUGCCAACCCGGCGGUACGAUGACGGUACCGGGAGAAUAAGCUCCGGCUAACUCCGUG